GACGAACGCUGGCGGCGUGCUUAACACAUGCAAGUCGAACGGUAAGGCCCCUUCGGGGGUACACGAGUGGCGAACGGGUGAGUAACACGUGGGUGAUCUGCCCUGCACUUCGGGAUAAGCCUGGGAAACUGGGUCUAAUACCGGAUAGGACCACGCUCUGCAUGGAGUGUGGUGGAAAGCUUUUGCGGUGUGGGAUGGGCCCGCGGCCUAUCAGCUUGUUGGUGGGGUGAUGGCCUACCAAGGCGACGACGGGUAGCCGGCCUGAGAGGGUGUCCGGCCACACUGGGACUGAGAUACGGCCCAGACUCCUACGGGAGGCAGCAGUGGGGAAUAUUGCACAAUGGGCGCAAGCCUGAUGCAGCGACGCCGCGUGGGGGAUGACGGCCUUCGGGUUGUAAACCUCUCUCAGUACCGACGAAGCGCAAGUGACGGUAGGUACAGAAGAAGCACCGGCCAACUACGUG
rnacentral:rRNA from 1 species